rnacentral:rRNA from 1 species
GAUGAACGCUAGCGGCAGGCUUAAUACAUGCAAGUCGAGGGGCAUCAAGGUACACGAAAGUGUAUUGUUGGCGACCGGCGGACGGGUGAGUAAUAGGUAGGUAACCUACCUCAUACUGAGGCAUAGCUGGGAGAAAUUCCAGGUAAUUCCUCAUGAGGUUAUAUGACACAUGUGAUAUAAUCAAAGGUAUCGCAAGGUACUGGUAUGAGAUGGGCUUACUGACCAUUAGCUAGUUGGUGAGAUAAGAGCUCACCAAGGCGAAGAUGGUUAGGGGUUUUGAGAGAGAGAUCCCCCACAUUGGAACUGAGAUACGGUCCAGACUCCUACGGGAGGCAGCAGUAGGGAAUAUUGGACAAUGGGCGCAAGCCUGAUCCAGCCAUGCCGCGUGAGUGAAGAAGGCCCUCGGGUUGUAAAGCUCUUUUGUCCGGAAAGAAAAGCGCCGGGUUAAUACCCUAGUGUCCUGACGGUACCGGAAAAUAAGCACCGGCUAACUUCGU